rfam:Mesocricetus auratus contig197540, whole genome shotgun sequence.
GGAAUGAUGAUGACAACAAAUUUCUGAGGAUGUUGAUCGACUUGUAACUAUGCCAAUCUGUGCUCC